CGACGACAUCUCUCCAAACCUCUCUAGCGGUCGAGCCUCCGCAACACUCCCAAGUUUUGCUGACGGAUAAGCCCCCACCAGUGUCGACCGGAUUCUUCACGACGGACGGACUCUACCCAAGUUUUCACGAUGAUUGACCACCUUCUAGACCUCGUCCGGACUCCUACGGGAGCCAGACUUCGCCCCCAACUUCAAUUGCAGGUAGGCUUCGCUCGGACUCCCACGGGAGCUGGACCUCGUCCCCGACUCUGGCUGCAGGUAGACUUCGUUCAGACUCCUACGAGAGCCGGACUCUGCCCACGACUUCACUUGCAGGUAG
rnacentral:lncRNA from 1 species